GCACUUGAGCGUUUUCUUAGAGUGGUUUGAGGGUUUCAGUGCUUUGUUGAAGGUCCAGUAUUUGUAGCCACACCUGUCUAAGGCACUUCGAAGGUGUUUGAGUUCGUCUGUUUUGGCUUUGUCAGAGGAAAUAAUGUUGUCAGCCCGGUGGUAAAGGGUUUUUAUCACUGCCAGUUUGUGUUCCAAUGGGUGAUGAGAGUCAAAGGCCAGAUAUUGGUCAGUGUGCGUCGGUUUCCUGUACACCUCGAACUGAAGGCUGCCGUCCUUCUCUAUGAUAGUUUUUGUGUCUGGAAAGGGGAGCAUGUUGUCAUGACUUGGCUCUUGUGUGAACUUGUAGUUCAUCAAGGUUAGUUUUUCUGUCAUUGAGACCAUCCAAUUUGUAGUUAACCUGACUCACCCUUUUGUUUAUUAGCUUCCUUUCCGAGUUGCGAAUGAUAUUGUUGGCCUUGAAUCCUUUGAUGGAGGUUUUUAGACGUAAACUGACAGGAGUUACACGUACCUUGGGGCUGCGCGAGUUGUGACGAAGAUGGUUCCUGUAGUCUGCAAUUUUCCUGCUGGUCUUCUCCAGAUCCCUCACUGAUUUCAGGCAAAACUUACCGUACUGAUCCAAGAGACGCCGAUGUAGGUUAGACAUCCAGGUAAUAAGAUACGCCAAAAAGUAGUUACUCAAGCAACUGGAUAUGGUUUUGGAAACAGUCAGACGUUUCGGAUAGUACCCACUAUCCUUCCGACGUAAAAUUGUUUUUCAUCAAAAAAUCAUUGAAUCGAUUCUUCUCGUCUUAGAAAUGUCAGCCACCGACCGCGGACUUGAAGACUACGAAGUCGACAACGACAUACCGCGGCUGUUUGAGGAAGCUCGCGGCCUCCUAGAGCUGCUGCACGAGAAGCAGGAUGAGAACGACCUGCGCCGCCGUGAGUUCGGAGGGCACGACGUGGACUUGGACUCCGAGAUGUCCGAGGAGUAUGUUGAGGACAUGGCUAAAACCACGGAGUAGUUCCCGAAGGUUUUGACGACUAUUCGUUUGAGCUCUGGGGAAAGGACAAGGCUGCCAGCGCCACCCCCAAACCCGAGUAGUCGAUUCUGGAGUGAGGCACGAAAUAUCAGCAUGAGCGUUGGACUUUAGACCAAAUCUCUCGCUCCCUUUCUCAAUUUCUCUUUCUCAAUACAUCAGCAUCUCUCCUCUUUUUCAAUCUCUCCUCUUUCUCAAUCUCUCCUCUUUCUCAACCUCUCCUCUUUCUCAAUCUCUGCCU